rfam:Triticum aestivum genome assembly, contig: Triticum_aestivum_CS42_TGACv1_scaffold_405076_5BL
CAAAUACUCCCUCCGUCCGAAAAUACUUGUCAUCAAAAUGGAUAAAAGGAAAUGUAUCUAGACGUAUUUUAGUUUUAGAUACAUCCCGUUUUAUCCAUUUUGAUGACAAGUAUUUUAGGACGGAGGGAGUAGAAA